rnacentral:rRNA from 1 species
AUUGAACGCUGGCGGCAGGUCUAACACAUGCAAGCCGAACGGCAGCGGGGGGUAGCUUGCUACCCCGCCGGCGAGUGGCGGACGGGUGAGUAAUGCCUGGGGAGCUGCCCAAUCGAGGGGGAUACCAGUUGGAAACGACUGCUAAUACCGCAUACGCCCUGAGGGGGAAAGGUGGGGAUCUUCGGACCUACCGCGAUUGGAUGCACCCAGGGGGGAUUAGCUAGUUGGUGAGGUAACGGCUCACCAAGGCGACGAUCUCUAGCUGGUCUGAGAGGAUGACCAGCCACACUGGAACUGAGAACCGGUCCAGACUCCUACGGGAGGCAGCAGUGGGGAAUAUUGCACAAUGGGGGAAACCCUGAUGCAGCCAUGCCGCGUGCGUGAAGAAGGCCUUAGGGUUGUAAAGCACUUUCAGUGGGGAGGAAAGGGUGGAAGCUAAUACCCUUCAUCUGUGACGUUACCCACAGAAGAAGCACCGGCUAACUCCGUGCCAGCCGCCGCGGUAA